CCUAGUCGCCUCCCUUUCUCCCUGUCUCUCUCGUCUCUAGACUAGAAGCAGCUAUGGUGGAGAAGCAAACCGGCUCAGGGGUCUCGGGAGGUUGCCGUCCUCGCAGCUGUUGCCAAGGAGAGACAUAAGCCUUAAAGGAACUAACGUCCGUGGAAGCAAGCCCGUCCUUUGGCCCAUUCAGCUGCAGCUCGCGUCCAUCUCUUCUCCACGCCACCUUCCGCUCGUGGUCCUGGAUUACGACUCCUCCAUACUCCUCGCCUCCUAGACGCCCCGCCAUGACCUAAAGACCUGCAACAGCACCCUGCCCUGCACUGAACUCCAAGGUGGUGGCCAAUUUUGCUCCAGCUUCUCCUAUAAUUGGUCAACCAAGCAUAUAUAUUUGCUCCAUCCAAGACGCAAUUCACUGUCAACACACCUAUGUUAGAGUAAUCAUUAAUGCCUUCCGGGUGUGCAUCAGUCAUCAAAAGGUAAUGUAUUUCUUUUUUACCGUGUGCAUAGCUUAUGUUAAGGAUUAUAGCUUGAUUUCAAACAAAUUGGUGGUGUAAGGUACCAAAAGCCUAUUUCACAGUAUGCUUAGACCCGAUAACUCAGGAGACUUUUUUCCAAAUCAAUAUUGAUGAUAUGCGAUGAAUGGACCUUCAAGUUUUUUCAGUUGCAGAGUAUUGAUGAUAACGAAGGUGAUAUCCAUUUGAUUUAUAUUGAAAUAAAAUAGCAUACGAAAAACCAGCAUAUUUUAAUUAGUAUUAGAAGCUCUUAUGUCAUUCUAUCCAAGUUUUUUUUGCAGGAAUCACAUAUCUGUUAUAUAUAUUUCCUGUUCUCGCACUUUUUACAAUAAUACAUAACACUUUGUGUUAAGAAAACAGUAACACUUUUAUUUCUCUCACAUUUGUUUAAACUUUUUGUGAUCAUGGGUUCCCGCAGCAAUGCGCAUGGUAUCAUCUAGUUGAUUCAACGAGCUAGUCAAGUAGAGGCAAGCUAGUGACACUCUAUUUGUCUAUGUAUUCAC